rnacentral:tRNA from 2 species
CGCGGGGUGGAGCAGCUCGGUAGCUCGCUGGGCUCAUAACCCAGAGGUC